rnacentral:lncRNA from 1 species
GUUAAGAGAUGAAGUCUAGAAUCUGGAUGGGGCUUAAGCAGUUUACGCAGAGAAUGAAUGAAGAAGUUCUCGAAUUUCGCGGACGAAAUUCUUUUAAGGGGGAUAGAUUGUAACAUCCCGACUUUAAAUAAUAGAGAAAUAUUAAUUAGAGAUAAUUAUUGGAGACUAAUUGGAAAUAAGUGACCAGGAACAAGUGUAAAAUGAACAAUUAAAGGAUAAUUGGGAGAUAACAAGAAGGGCAAAGUGAUAUUUAAACAUAAAAGUGGCAUUAGGUUGGUGGACCUCACCUUUUCCAUUUUCUGAUAAAUCAGCCAACACAAGACACUUCUCAUCUUCUCCCUCUUUCUGACGUUGGCAGAACAACAACAACAACAUAGUUUUCUCUUUUCCUCACCACCAUGUUAAGUUUACCCAACUUCGAAUCCCACAUGCAAAUUGAUAAAUCAAUACCCAAGAGUAUAUAAAAGAUCAUGUGAGCUUUGAUUUCUUUUCUUUUUCUACUUGACCGAACUUCCUCUCUGUACAAUCAAACCUCACUUCAAGCACUUCAAGCUCAAGUUUUCUUCUAUUUUUGGGUUUCAAACAAGGACUAGUCAUGGGGCUAAGUUUACAAGUGUUGAGAGAUCAAGGUAAGUUAGUAAUUUCAAUUCCCAUCUUCUUCCCUUUUGUUGAACCCUAAACCCCAAUUUGUAAUUGUUCCUAACCUUCCUUUUACUGUUCUGGACUGCACAAAAUUCUAUUGAGAUUGAACUAUGGAACAUGGAAGAACAAGUUUGAAGGAAAGAGGAGUUUUGGAAUAAGUCUAGGGAAAUUCGUGUUUUGGACAUGUCUUCACUGAAACGGUAACUGCUCCUUCUCUGUUACUCUGAUUUAAGAUCUGCUUGUUGCUAUGGAAAGCUAACGAAAUUCCCUUCGAUUCGUGUACCAACUUCGUAGGUUUUAGCUUAAUAUCGAGGUCAGGGGACGAUUUUAAAGUGGAGGGUCUGAAGUUGAUUUGUGCAGGAAAAUCUGGACUGUUCGUGGAGUCUCGCCGAGCGAGAAGCGAGGAUAGCAGUUCUGUUCUGCUACUGCAUGUUGUUGUGGUUACUCCCUGCUGACACUAGUACAGAAAAUACUUUUUACAUCUGGCCAAAACCCCA